rnacentral:rRNA from 1 species
UACAGAGGUCCCAAGCGUUGUUCGGAUUCACUGGGCGUAAAGGGUGCGUAGGCGGUCGGAUAAGUCUGAUGUGAAAUCUUCGAGCUCAACUCGGAAACUGCAUCGGAAACUACUCGGCUGGAGGAUUGGAGGGGAGACUGGAAUUCUCGGUGUAGCAGUGAAAUGCGUAGAUAUCGAGAGGAACACCAGUGGCGAAGGCGAGUCUCUGGACAAUUCCUGACGCUGAGGCACGAAAGCUAGGGGAGCAAACAGG